rnacentral:lncRNA from 1 species
CACCCCCCAGGCCUCCGCUAACGUUUCCCCUUGGCGUUUCUCUCCGCUGCUCCAGCUCCGGCGCCGUUCGCACCGUUCCCGUGCCGAAUCGCGGGGCCUCCGCCAGCUCCGGCGUCUUUGCCACCCGCUCCGAUUUGUCUCGCCCAAAAGCGGAACGAGCUGCCAGGUCUCUGCGCGUUUCAGAGCCCGUGCCGGGAGCCAGCCGCUGCCCAGGGCGGGGGGGGGGUGGCGGCAGAGCUGGAGGUUUUGGCAGCAGAUUUUUCCGGCAGUCCCCGGCCGCCAACCCUCCCGAGUGCCGGCGCGGUGUUUUUUUGCGAGUGACACAGCACAAUCGGCGAGGAAUGGAGAAAGCUGUCCCUACUUUAUCAGAGCAACAGCGAGAGCGCCAGGGAGAUGGAGGCAGAGCCACGCUAACGGCGCUGGAGCCAAACAAAGAGCAUUUUGCUGCCCUUGAGUGCCCCCAAGGUGAAGAGCGAAGAGCUGCUUUUGUUAAAGAUGCAAAAGCGCCUCUGGAGAGCCCGGCUCUAUCUGGGACAUCGGUGGAAGGAGGGACAGAGCUCAAGGAGGCCUCCUUCUUCGCCACGGAGAACCUGCCGUCGAUGAGCCGAGACGGCAAAGGGACUUCUGGCACCGAUAUGUGUGCCCUCAAAGAGGAUCCCAACUUCUUCUCGCCGCUCACCCGCCAGGAACCUGAUGUCGCUCUGGAAGCUCGGGACGUGGCAGAUGAGCCUGAUCCUGCCCUCUCCGGUGCUGUCCCAGCCACAGCUCACAGGACUGAACUCUGGUAAGUUCCCAGGAUCUGUUGCAGAGCGGGAAGCAUCCGGGAGCCGGUCUCCCCUUGUUGACAGUGCUCUAGUUGCUAAAAUCCCCAAAUAUCUGCCUGCCUACCCCCCAAAGAGGGUUAUCCUG